UGGGGAAUUUUGCGCAAUGGACGAAAGUCUGACGCAGCGACGCCGCGUGGGUGAUGAAGGCCUUCGGGUUGUAAAGCCCUGUGGGGAGGGAAGAAUAAGGGUAUGUAAAUAGCAUAUCUGAUGACGGUACCUCCUUAGCAAGCACCGGCUAACUCUGUGCCAGCAGCCGCGGUAAGACAGAGGGUGCAAACGUUGUUCGGAAUUACUGGGCGUAAAGCGCGUGUAGGCGGCUAAGCAAGUCGGGUGUGAAAGCCCUUGGCUCAACCGAGGAAGAGCAUUCGAAACUGCGUAGCUUGAGUUCUGGAGAGGAUGGUGGAAUUCUCGGUGUAGAGGUGAAAUUCGUAGAUAUCGAGAGGAACACCUGUGGCGAAGGCGGCCAUCUGGACAGAAACUGACGCUGAGACGCGAAAGCGUGGGUAGCAAACAGG
rnacentral:rRNA from 1 species